UCGAGAAUCUUCGGCAAUGAGCGCAAGCUUGACCGAGCGACGCCGCGUGUGGGAUGAAGGCCCUCGGGUUGUAAACCACUGUCGUAGGGGAGGAAGGCUCCGUGAAGAGCGGGGCUUGACCUAUCCUAGGAGGAAGUACGGGCUAAGUUCGUGCCAGCAGCCGCGGUAAGACGAACCGUACGAACGUUAUUCGGAAUUACUGGGCUUAAAGGGUUUGUAGGCGGCCUUGUAAGUCAGGUGUGAAAGCCCUCGGCUCAACCGAGGAAUAGCGCUUGAUACUGCAAGGCUUGAGGGAGACAGGGGUAAGCGGAACUGAUGGUGGAGCGGUGAAAUGCGUUGAUAUCAUCAGGAACACCGGUGGCGAAAGCGGCUUACUGGGUCUCUUCUGACGCUGAGGAACGAAAGCUAGGGGAGCGAACGGG
rnacentral:rRNA from 1 species